GUAGGAGUUUGGAAGACCAAUCGUAAGAACCUGGCCAUUCAAAAUCUGGUUCCAGUAUCUUUCAGCCUCAGCUGUUGGGAUAUUGCACCAUGCAGGCUUUAGAGCCCCCCAGACGACUUGCCAUUCCUGCAUAGUCUGUAGUUUGUCAUUUCUCCAUGCCCUCCCCUCUGUGCACGGCUGUUUUUUUCUGGAAUACCCCUCCCCCUUGAUUUUCCGAGAUAUGGAAAAUCUGUGGUGACUCAUCCUUGGCCAGCUGUUUGGAGGGUAAGAAAGGACUUCAUCAGAGUGAGAUAUAUGCAGGAAAUUGGAUAGCAGUCACAUGGCCCAGAUCUUGGCUUUGCUGGUUGUAGAAACGAGAGAAAAGAGGAAACUAACUUCAUGAACUCUGAUCACGCGAGGACCACUAGAUGCAUCAUCUGAUCCCUGAAACAGCCCUGUGUGGAGUUAGCAAGCAGAAGAGAAAUAUUUAGACAGCAAUGAGGAAAGAGGGUGUUUUGCUGGAAACUUCCAUUUGGCCCUCCAGAUCUACUCUCCACUGUUCUGUGCCCCCAGAAGGCUGGACCACAAGGACCAUAUCCAUAACUUCUGCCAUUUUUGAGCCUUGAUUGGCAAGUGACAAAUCCAGAAUACGGCAGAAUGACUGGGCCAGCUCACACAGGUCGGGGACAGCCUCUCUGAAGAAGCCAUUCGAAAGCAGAUAUGGGAUGGAGACAGAGAAAUCACCACUCCGACUUCCCUGUUUGGGGCAGUGCAUUCUGGGAGAGGAAUUGUAGCAAAGAAGCAGGGAGAGGUUUUCAUCCAGAGAGCAACUUUUGCUGAUGUAGAGAGCAAGAGAAUUGGGAGAGGAAAUUUUAAAACAAGAUUAAGCAAGCCUCAUUAGGGUGGGCCUUUUUCCAGGGCAUUCUGUUCACAUAGCAGCUGUCUCUGUAUUUGGGCUUUACCUCCUCCUUCGCUGGCCUGCCCAGCAACAAAGUACAGCCUGGCUCCGCCCUGUUCGAAUGACCACCAGGCAGUGCAGGACCUAGAUGUGCUGCUUCUAUGUACAGAGAUGACUGGGCAUUCCCACCAAACCAAUCACAGCUUCCCUGUGGUCUGCCAGGCAGCACAGAGGAUUAUUGUACUAGAGCCAGGCUCAUAUUAAAAUAUUAAUUUACAUUUAAAA